rnacentral:rRNA from 1 species
GAAUUCGAUUAACGCGAAGAACCUUACCCAGGCUCGAACGGCAACUGACAUCCGGCGAAAGCCGGCUCCCGCAAGGGCAGUUGUCGAGGUGCUGCAUGGCUGUCGUCAGCUCGUGUCGUGAGAUGUUGGGUUAAGUCCCGCAACGAGCGCAACCCUUGUCCGCUGUUGCCAUCAGGUUAUGCUGGGCACUCUGCGGAGACUGCCGGUGAUAAACCGGAGGAAGGUGGGGAUGACGUCAAGUCAGCAUGGCCUUUAUGUCUGGGGCUACACACGUGCUACAAUGGCAGAUACAAACCGUCGCGAUGCCGCAAGGUGGAGCUAAUCGGAGAAAAUCUGUCUCAGUUCGGAUUGCAGGCUGCAACUCGCCUGCAUGAAGUUGGAAUCGCUAGUAAUCGCGGAUCAGCACGCCGCGGUGAAUACGUUCCCGGGCCUUGUCACACCGAAUCACUA